AUCUCUCUCUUCUUACAUCAACAAUAAAAUACACUAAUUCUCUGCAAUUAAGAGCACUACUCCUCCAUACUGCAGAUUCAAGUGCAGCCAAUUAAGAAUGGCUCUAUUUUGCAGGUUCAUUCCCAAAACUGCCGUGCCAAUUUCUCCCAUGUUGAAGCUCAACACCAUAAUAAUAAGAUGCGCGGCAACGACACCAGCAAGGAACAAGGCUAAGCCAUCACCUCCACAGACCAAUCAACUUCCCACCACAAGCGAGCAGAAAACAGUAAAAAUGAACAACAAUAAUAAUAAUGAUGAAGCUGCAGAAAGUCUCAUAGCCUCUUUGAGUACUAACAACAUCACUGAUAACAGUGCUGCUGUGGUGAACAAUUAGUACUAUAUGGGUGAAAUUUGAUGGAUGGUAACUUUAAUUUUACCGGAUCGAUCGAGUACGUGUCAUAUAUUUUAUAUACCUCUCGCCUUUACGAAUGUGUUAAAGAGCUCGCUAGCUAGGGAGGGAGGAUAUCGAUGCAGUUCGAAGGUUUCUAUCUGUAGUGUAUGUGAUAAACAAAUAAAUAAGUUAAUAAUGGUAGAGUUGACUUUACUAGCUAGCUAGCUAGCUAAAGCUUGUGUAUUUUAGCAAGUAGGCUAAGGUUUCUACUUGAUGAGACUGUUGUGUAGCUAGUUCAGCUUGCAAAUUAAAUGUCUGCAAGUAAUAGGCUAAGAGUUUGUUUGUUAUGUAGAGCAUGUUAUGUUGUCUUGAAUAACAUUAUAAUCUGCAAUUAACUGUUGCCUUGAA